rnacentral:rRNA from 1 species
ACCCACGACAAAUCUUACCACUUCUUGCAUAUUCUAGUUCGUUAAAGUGAAGAUAAUUUAAUUUAUUUAUAAAUACUAUAACUAUAGUAUUCUGAAUGGAUUUUAACUUCCCUUAACAACACUUGAAUACAGGUGUUGCAUGGCUGUCUUUAGUUCGUGUUGUGAAAUGUUAGGUUCAUUCCGUGAACGAACGCAAUCCUUAUCUUUAAUUACAAUUAUAUUCCAUUCGAUGAAUGAAUACGAAAGUUGAAUUCAAUUUAAUUCAACUUUAAAAUGAAUGAGUUUAAUUAAAAUGAAUGAAUUAGUUGUUUAAUAAGUUCAAAUUCAUUUAUUGGUUGAAACGUUUUAAUUCCUUCAAUUCUUAUUUUAUUUUAAUAUAAUUUAAAAUGAAUGAAUUAAUUUAAAUUGUAAGUAACUAAUUUCAAUUGAAUUAAUAUUAACUAAAAUUAAAGAAGUAUCUUUUGAUAAGAAAGAAUAAUUAGGACGAAGACAAGUCCUCAUGACCCUUAUGGAGUGGGCUACAGACGUGCCACAAAGAUUUCUACAAUGGGAAGCAAAGAUCCAAGUCCGAGCAAAUCCUUAAAAGAA